rnacentral:rRNA from 1 species
UAUUGGGAAAGAGUUAAUUUUUUCUUUAAAAUGUUUCUUUAUAGGAUGUUGUAAAGAUUUCUAAUGGAUGAAUUUGUAAAAAAUUUGUUAUAGUGCUAAGAGACAAAGUUUGUGCCAGCAGUCGCGGUCAUACCCUAUUUUUAAAAUUUUAUUUUGGUGGAAGUUUUUUGUUGCUUUGAAUUUCUUAGUGUGAAAUCUAGAAAUUUUUGUUUUUGUUGAUUUUAUACCUUAAAACUGAAUAAAAACCAGGAUUAGAAACCCUGUUAUUCUUGGGUUUAAUGAAGUAGUAUAAGAAUUUCUUUAAACUUAACUUUUCUGGCGGUUCAUUAUUCUUUUAGAGGAACUUGUUCAUUUUAAUAGAUAAUCCGCUUUUAUUUUUACCGUUGUUAUAUUUUGUGUACGGUUAUUGAGUUUUAACUUGAUUGUUAUUUCUACUAAUAGUUAAUUUAUUUAAUUUAGAUCAAUGUGCAGGUUAUACAAUGGUUAGGGAUGAGUUACUUUAUUGUUAUCUGUAUAAAACUGUAUCUUAGGAUUGGAUUUAAUAGUAAGAGAAUAAUUGAACUUUUUUCUGAUGAAGAUUUUAAUGAAAGUACAUAUCGCCCGUCACUCUUUUGAUAGAUAAGUCGUAACAAAGUAGAAGUACUGGAAGGUGUUUCUUGU